rnacentral:rRNA from 1 species
CGCGUAGGCGGACCUCCAAGUCAGAUGUGAAAUCUGUCGGCUUAACCGGCAGCCUGCAUUUGAAACUGUGGGUCUUGAGUGCAGGAGAGGAGAGCGGAAUUCCAGGUGUAGCGGUGAAAUGCGUAGAUAUCUGGAAGAACACCAGUUGCGAAGGCGGCUCUCUGGACUGACACUGACGCUAAAGCGCGAAGGCUUGGGUAGCAAACAGGAUUAGAUACCCUGGUAGUCC